GCAAGGUAGCAUAAUCAUUAGUUUCUUAAUUAGGAACUUGUAUGAAUGGUUGGAUGAGAAAUAAUCUGUCUUUGAUUAAAUAUUAAAAGAAUUUUAUUUUUAAGUUAAAAAGCUUAAAUUUUUAUAAAAGACGAGAAGACCCUAUAGAGUUUGAUAAUUCUAAAAUUUUGAUUAUUUAAGAAUUAAUUUUUUUAAAUUUUAGUUUUAUUUUGUUGGGGUGAUGGAGAAAUUAAUUUAACUUUUUUUAAUUAAUAACAUUAAUUUAUGAAUUAUUGAUCCAAUUAUUUUGAUUAUAAGAUUAAAUUACCUUAGGGAUAACAGCGUAAUUUUUUUGGAGAGUUCUUAUCGAUAAAAAAGUUUGCGACCUCGAUGUUGGAUUAAAAUUUAGGGUUGGCGUAGAAGUUAACUUUUUAAGUCUGUUCGACUUUUAAAAUUUUACAUGAUCUGAGUUUAAACCGGUGUGAGCCAGGUUGGUUUCUAUCUUUAUGUGGCUAAGAUAUUUUAGUACGAAAGGACCGAUUAUUUAUAAAAUUUAUUUAAUUUGAAUUGAAUUAACUUAUUAUUUUGGCAGAUUAGUGCAUUAAAUUUAGAAUUUAAUUAUGUAUAUCUAUACAAGUAAUACUUGAUUUUGAAGGAUUUAAUUUUGCUUAUUAUUAGUGGUUUAAUUUUAAUUAUUUGUGUUUUAGUAGG
rnacentral:rRNA from 1 species